rnacentral:rRNA from 1 species
CCCUUAGAUGUUCUGGGCUGCACGCGCGCUACACUGAUGCGUUCAACGAGCUCGUCCUUGCUCGAGAGAGCUGGGUAAUCUUCUUGAAAGCGCAUCGUGCUGGGGAUUGACGCUUGUAACUUCGUCAUGAACGAGGAAUUCCUAGUAAGCGCGAGUCAUCAGCUCGCGCUGAUUACGUCCCUGCCCUUUGUACACACCGCCCGUCGCUCCUACCGAUUGAGCGGUCCGGUGAAUAGCUCGGACCGCGCGGCGUGCAGCUUUGUGCGCCGCGUGGAAAGUUCGGUGAACCUUAUCGCUUAGAGGAAGGAGAAGUCGUAGCA